rnacentral:lncRNA from 1 species
UUCGAUUGGUUUCCGGAUCUGUCAGGAGGAUUCUUGGUAAUUCUCUAAUUGUGCUUCUAAUUGCUUUCUAAUUAUCUUUGUUCUUCAAUAUUAUGAAUAUGACUUUGUUCUACUUCAAUAUAUUGCUUAUGAUUUUGCUCUACUUGCUUAUAUUCAAGAUUAUAUUGUUCUUAGUUUAUCAUAGUUAUGUACUUGGCUUAGUUAGAUUGGAUCUAUAUACAUGCUUAGGAUCGUAUAGCGUUUAUCCAUCGGAUCCAUGGGUAAAUGAUAGAUAUUGUGUAGGCGUAGUGCUUAUACCGUAUUUAUCUGCGAUUGUACCCAAUAUGCCAGAUCGUGGGGUAGUUCGUGAUAGUGACAGCUUCAUUGAUUCUUAUAUAGUCCCCCUCUCGUGUAUUGGGCUGGCAGAGCAACAUUAUUACAGG